UAAUUUUAAGCUGGUAUUAAUAUGAAAUCCGAGAACUUUUUACAGUUCAUAUUUCAAAAAGGCAGAAAUAAUCGCACUAAAAGUUAACUUGAUUUAAAAUUUCAAGAGACUACUAAUAAUCGGCCCUAUUUCCGUUGUCGUUGUCGUUUUUAUCGUCGCUUCGUUCCUAAAUUGGUAUUCUUGAAGUAUAUCGUAACGCCUAAGAAAAGUUAUCGAAAUUUGUCUACAUAUUUUAUAUAGUAUACUUUAAGGAGCUCUUUUCCCAUAUAAAAAUUUCUUUCUUAUGCAACGAGACACAUUUUUAAAGCAGUCCUUAAUGGAUUUUAUGCUAUUCUGUAUUGACUCUAAACAACGUUAUCACUGUAAUUAUUGUACUUACGUACAACAAUGUUAGUAUUCCAUUUUUAUUUGAUUUUUUUAAAGAAGUAGUGGUGACAUCUGCGGAUAUUUUUCCAUUUCAGAAAUUAAAAGUUCAAACUGUUUCCGAUUUGGAAUUUUCAUCUUCACUUCAAAUAUUCCUUCAAACAACCGCGUCGUUUCUAUGUCGCUCACAAUUAUAGCAACGACAAAAAACGACUGUUUCUAUGUCGUUUCUAUAGUCGUUUCAAAUUGGGAAAUCUCAAUUUAUUUUCGAUAAAUGUCGUUAACGCCAACUGGAAUGCCAAAUAGGCGUUCUUAAGUCGUUUUAAAACGAUAACGACAACGGGAAUAGGGGCGAAUAUUAAAUUUUGUACAACUAAUUUUAUUAAAUAUUCUUUGUAUUUUUCCGGUUCGAUCGAAAAAUGGUUCGAUGCGAUCGAAAAAUUUUUCGUCGGAUCAUUGAACCGUAUCAAAGAUAAAAUUUACGAUCAGAUUGAACUCACUUACCGGCUCGAAAAAAUACAAUCCGCGGCUAAAAGCUGUCGCUAAUUACAAAAUCAUUGAAUCCGCAAAAUCGAAAAUUUUGGUCGAAAUCUAUCCGUUGAGUGAGUUGCGGAAAUUUAAAAGAAGUAAACCAUUUGGAAGUUUUUUGUAAACAAUUACUGAUGACGUACGAAAUUGUAUUUUAAAUGGGUAUUUUAGGGACAAGAGAAAAAAAAUAACAAAAAUAAAUUAAAGAUGUUUAAAAGCGAUAUAGAGUUGCCCCCUCGAAAUAGUGAAACAAUUUUCUCAAAGAGCAUCAGGCGAAUUAAAUAUUUUUUGGAAGAAAUUUCACAAUAAUUAAAGGUCAGUAUAAAUUUAUUUUUAACAAAGCAAAAAGCACAUACACUCAAAUAUUACAGAAUGGUGGAAAACAAUUUGUAAUCAUUUGUAUAUGUAAAUGUUUUUAAUCCUUCUUCUUAUUAAGUGACAAGGCGUAUAAUGUGGACAAUUUAUGGUACGGUUUUGGAAUUUUCAUCACAUAAUUACUCCUAAUAAUAUUCAUUAAACCCUAAAAUAGAAUUAAAAUGAUAUAUUCACUACUUCUUACUUUAUACAUACAUUCAUAUAAUGUAAAGUAAACGAUUCAAAUCGACUUCAAAGUUCGGGUAUAUGGGAAGUAGGCGUGGCUGUGAAUCGAUUUGGACCAUUUUCAUAACAUAUCAUUGAGAUGCCAAGAUGUUAUGAACCGAACUUCAUUGAAAUUGGUCGAAUAGUUUCUGAGAUAUGGUUCUUGACGUAAGCGGAGCCACGCCCAUUUAAAAUAUUGUAUACCAAUUUAAGUGCAGCUCUUCUGUACCAUCUUUACCAUGAAAUUUAAGGUUUCUAGUGUUUUUUCUUAAUGAAUUAAUGAUUUAAAGCAUUUUUAGUAGUUUUCAAUAUAACUUUUGUAUGUGAGGUGGGUGUGGUUACAAUCAGUUUCCUCCAUUUUCGGACUAUAAGGUAGUAUCUAAAAGAAACGACUGUAGAGAGUUUGGUUGAUAUAGCUUUAGUAGUUUACAGAUAUGUACAAAAAACCUAUUUUGGAGCGGGGCUAAGCCCACUUCCCAAAAAAAUUACAUUCGGAUACGCCCCUUCCUAGUGCGAUCCUUUAUACGAAAUUUUUUAUAACUUUAUUUAUGACUUAGUUACGGCACUUUAUAUGUUUUCGGCUUUCGUCAUUAUGUGGGCGUGGUAAUGGUCCGAUUUCGCCCGUAUAACCUCCUCAGGGUGCUAAGGAAUAUAUGUACCAAGUUUAAUUAAGAUAUCUCAAUUUUUACUCAAGUUAUCGCUUACAGGGACAGACGUACCGACAGACAUCCAGAUUUCAACUCCACUCGUCAUGCAGAUCAUUUAUAUAUAUAUAGCCUUAUAUCUAACUCUUUUAUUUCUGUGUGACACAAACAAUCGUUAUGUGAACAAAACUAUAAUACUCUCUUUAACAACUUUUUUGCGAGAGUAUAAUCAAAGUCUGUUUGGAUUUCAAACAAUUUUCAUUUAUUCAAAAACUUGCAGCAGAACAACUUAUAAAUAUCUUUCAAAUCUACAACUGUGUUCGAAAUAAUAGCAGCGGUAUAACCAAAAAUUUAUUCAAAGCUAUAAAGUUGUUAUAGUUCAUUGUUAUUUUACUAUUUACUAUUUAAACUUACAAGAAAUAUAGUUUCCUGAGAAAAUAACAUACAUAUAUUUUUUAAAUUAAUAAAAAAAAGUGUGGAAACAAUUUCAGCUGUGAUUAAUAAUAGCAGUAUUGAGCAUUUUACUUCAAAAACCAAUUUAUUCAUUAUAAUAAAACAAAAUAAAGUUUAAAUAAUUACCACAUAGUCGAAUUACUAUCGUUGCACAUCUCCAAGGCAUGGAGUCCACAAAAUGCCUGCGUUUCUCAAGAGGAAUGGCCUUGCACAUCUUCUUCAUAAUAUUCCAUAAGUGCUUCGAAUUUGAUUGUGUUUUUUUUCUCUACAGCUUCCUUAAUCUCUGCCCAAAGAUUCUCACUUGGAUUAAGGUCAGAUGAUUGAGCCGAUGAUUUUCGAUUCAGCGUAUGGGAGCAUAGACGGCUCAAUUUUUUCCUCGUAAAUUUUGGCCUCCAUGUUUUUUUAAAUCCAAUAUAACGGACCUAUACCGUAGUAAAAGAAGCCUCCCAAUACGUUGAUUUAACACAUUCAUGUUUCACAGCCCGGGAAACAAAUCUAAAGGUCCAGACCAAAAUUUUCGCAUUUCAAUCAAAUUAUUUAAAAUAAUAUGACCAUUUCGCUUGCACUGCUCUUAUUAAUCACAGCAAAAAACAACUACGUUGCACAAAAAAUAACGGUACUCUAGGUAUAUGAUAACUGUAUCAAAUAUCAAUUUAAACACAGAUUCCCAAUAUUUAUUAUUUCGAACACAGUUGUAUUUGAAAAUAUAUAAAAUAUAGUAAACAUAACAAAUAACAACGUUUUAAUUCUUAGCGUACUUCACAAGUGGAAGAUCCAAAGGAUUGGAACGAUAUCUAAUUAGCCGUCGAAUUAAUACGACAUUCAAGCUUUCGUACCGACUCAUGAAAAAUAAUGUAUAACUACUGAACAUAGUUCUUUUUUAUAUUUUGAUUAAAAUAAUAUAUUUUUGUUCACGUAUUUGUAUUUUUAACUGCACGAAUUGUUACUCACAUUUGAACAAUGCUGCCAAAAUCUAGCCUCAGUAGCCUUAUAUGUGACAUUUUUAAAUUAACUGUAUCUACAUAUGUAUGUAUGUAUAUGUAAAAAAAAUAAUUAAAUAAUACUUUCGUUCUAUAUGAAUACAACGGAUGGAACCCGUUUGCUUCUAUUACUUUGUCCAAUACUGUAUGUAUUAUUAUAUAGAAGGAAAAUAUGGAGAUGGUUACGAUUUGGAGUCUUACUGCUGUUUCCGAACAUCAAGUAUCACAACAACCAGUACCACAGAUAUUAAAUGGCGUAACGAGCAUAUUGAGUAUACUCCGGAACGUUAUAUCGUGACCAAAUGUCAAGAGAUAUAUGAAUGAAAUAAUACAAAAUAUGAUGAAUUUCAAUUUUAAGCCGAAAUUGUGAAGAAAAACAAGAUCAAUAUAUUAUGUGCAAUAAAACAAAUUUCUAUGUGAAAAUUUCAAAUUAAAUAUACAUUUUUAAGACCAUC